UCAUGUGACUUGUGAUGUUUUAUUAUCACAUCCAGGUUCAGUUCUGUUUUGUUGUAAUUUACACACAGCAGGAGAUCUCUAACUCAUCAAUGACCAAGUAGUUGAGUUUGGGUCAAUUCUCACCAGCCAAUCACAGCUUCCCAGUAGCAUGAUGCAGCCAGCCCCUCCCACUCUCCAUCACCAAGGUUAUUGCUGUUUGUAAUACAUGCUUGUCAAUGCUAGGUCUACAUGUUUAAAUGUAUACAAGUAACCAAAAAUAUCAAACACAUUCCACUGGAUGUAAUUCACAUGUUUAAUCAAGGAUAACUCUCCCAUUUCCAGAAAUGGGUGGGAUAGAACUGGAUCCACGCAAAAGCUUUAAGGGGCAGGGCCGAGGUAAACAUACAAUAUAAAGGUAGACAAUACAUAGCAUGAAUAUGAACAUUACACUAAAUUUGUCCAUUUGAUUUUUACAAUGUGAUUGGAAAUCAUUCACUCAAUCAUUCCAAUGCAAAAAUAGGAGAGGAUAUCAAUCAGCCUAUUAGACGCGAGCAAAGCAGUCAGCUGCUCCAGGCAAUUAAAAACAAAUAGGAUCUGAUAUGUCCACCUGAGUUUGGGCUAACAGGCCAACAGCCCAGCAGUCAAGCUAGCAAGCGCUCAUCCACUCUCAGCAGUGACCUCCCCGUAACACUGCCUAUGCUGCUGAACGUGCUCCAGAGAGCUCACAUCCACCCAGAGCAAGUCAGCGGCGAAUGCUACACCGGAACAAGAAUAAACUCAUAUUGUAAUAGCAACUUUGACAGAGGCCCUGUGUCUAACCCAGGCCAUGAAAGGCAGGCAAAUGUUCCCCCGAAAAUGUGUAGCCCUAAAUAUUACCCAUGGUCCCACUGUAAUGGACAUGUAUUGACCAUAAGGACAUUAAUCGAAACACUAAUUGCAGUGGACUGAGGCAUUGUCAUACGAGCCUGGUCCCUUCAUGACCGAGUUAGACACCACCAGAACAGCCCGCCCUGUCAUCUGGAGUGACAGCGGGACGAACGGAGACGGGUGUCAUCUUGACGCGCCGUCAGACGCACGCGAUGCAGUUUAGUAGGAAUCAUGUCGAGAAGGGAGAGGGAGGGAGCGAGAGAGGUGAAGACAAGGUUGGUUUGAGAUGAGGCACAAUGUUAAAACAGCUUUAGAGCUUUUUUUCUUCUUUUUUUUUUUUUUUACUUCUUCUUCUCCUUGUUUCUUUUUCAAGGUAUACAACUUGCACAAAGCAAGGGACAAUAUAACAUCACUAUCAACAAUAUACAGGCUUGUCAUAGCAACCCAAGUGAGAAUAGAACAGAACACAACAAAGUCCCUCUGUGCUCACGCCUCCGCCGUCCCCUGGCCGGCCUGCCUGUCCGUCAUAGUGGUCACGCUCACUAGAGAGCAGGGAGGGAGAGGGAGGGAGGCCAGUCCCAACUGUUCUGUCCCCUACCCUAGAAGCAGUCUCUGGUCACACAGGUGAGUAGCCAGACCAGGUGAGUAGCCAGACCAGGUGAGUAGCCACAGCAGGUGAGUAGCCAGACCAGGUGAGUAGCCAGACCAGGUGUCUCCUGGGCCGGACCCACAGAGUACCCUCAGCAUUACCAGACAAGACAAGGGAGACCAACACCGACUUUUUACACAACUAUACAUCAUCAUCAACAGACAGUGAGCUAGAAGAGCUGCAGCUGCCUCUGCUUCCUGUCACCUGACGCAAGGUGCCCACGGAUCUACAAAACAAACGCACCCAGAGCAGGGAAUCACGUCUCGAAAAGGUGACCUAGUACAGGUGAGGAUCUUUCGGAUAGGCAGGUAAUGUCUUUAACCUUCCCCGUGGAGGGGAGGUUGAGCUGAGACGACAAACUAAAAGCAGUCUGGAGGAAAGGAACCACCAGUGGGAAUAAACGUCUUUGGCUAAAUGUUUGGCAAUGCAACGAAACCGAAAGGAUGAAGCGUGAGAACGGCGAGGGCCCGAGCGACAGUACCAGAUUGUCGCCGAUGGACGCCUGCCGGCGUACAGACAUAUCUAGAGGCAGAUAGACGGCCGGGUUGAGAGACAGGUUGAGAAAGGGGUGGUUUGGAAACAGGGCUUUACAAGUGAUGAGAGAAGAUGGAAGACGUAGACACACACACACAAACACAAACACACACAGUGCUGUCGGCUCUCCCUUCAAUCCUUUGUCAUAUCAGAGCCUGAACACAACCUCAGACGAAGGGAGACAAUGGUCAAGUAGUUUUAGUGCAAAUGGUUAAACCAAUGUUUCUAUCUUGCCUGAAAAAAAAAAAAAAAACGAAAA